rnacentral:misc_RNA from 1 species
UACAGUCCGUCGACCGUUUCUUCUCCUCUGUCCAAGUCUCUUUGGUUUCUCUGAGCUCGAGUAUCAGAGUCCUCCUUAAAACAUCUUACAUCGGUCGCAUACGCCAGGGCAGGAGAGGUUGUUCUACGAUUUUUACGUGCGUCGAAAAGAGUAUUGUAUGAGUCAAAAAAUAGAAAAACCGAUACUAUCAGGUCAACGCAUAAAGACCAGAAAAAGAGAUGAAAGAGAGAAAUAUGACCCAACCGGCUUUCGAGAUGCGGUUUUGCUUGGCUUGGAAAAAGCUGGUAACGACUUAGAAGCAAUUUCUAAAUUUCUGGACGCGGCUGGUUCUAAGUUAGACUAUCGUCGAUAUGGGGAAGCAUUAUUUGACAUCAUGAUUGCUGGAGGUCUUCUAGUUCCUGGCGGUUCCAUUGCUCAAGAUGGCGACAAACCGGUUAAAACCAGUGCAUGUGUUUUUGAACAGCCAGAGGACAUGGAGUCUAUGCGAAAUUUUGAACAGGUCUUUAUCAAACUCAUGCGACGUUAUAAAUAUUUGGAAAAAAUGUUUGAGGAAGAGAUGAAAAAGGUAUUGGUCUUUAUGAAAGGAUUUUCACCUAAAGAAAGAAUUAAGCUAGCACGAAUGACAGCACUGUGGAUCUCGAAUGGCUCUGUACCACCUACAGUCCUUUCGGUUUUGAUCAAUGAGCAUCUUGUUAAAGACAACUUGGCAUUAGACUUCCUACUAGAAGUCUUUGUUACUUGGAAACAAGAAAAAGGUUUAUCUAGUUUAAUGACUGCUUUGAAGAAAGGAGGUAUUGAAGGAAGGUUGAUGGAAUUUGUACCACCGAAUAAACGAACAGAAGAACAUUUCCGAUCUGUGUUUGAAGCGGUAGGCUUGGCAGAUAUUGUGAAAUUACACAAGGCUCAGGCCAGUCAAGAAGCUAAACGGGAUUUACAACAACUUCUUUUGGAUGAUUUAGCAGAGAAUAGGCCAAUGAAGGACAUAACAUUAGAUCUCAAAGAAAUGGCACAAAGGAGUGGCAUUCCUGAACAUGAAGUGAUUGGACUGAUAUGGGUUGUUGUAAUGGGCCAAGCUGAAUGGAAUAAGAAAGAAGAAUUAGUCGCUGAACAAGCACUGAAACAUCUAAAAGUUUAUACUCCAUUAUUCGGUGCUUUUACAACCACUGCCAGAUCUGAGCUCGCACUCAUUCUCAAGGUCCAGGAAUUCUGUUAUGAGAACAUGAAUUUUAUGAAAGUCUUCCAGAAGAUUGUUUUACUCUUUUAUAAACGGAAGUUGUAUCAGAAGAUGUAAUAUUGAAGUGGUACAAAGAGGGUCAUUCGGUUAAGGGAAAGAUGCUCUUUUUAGACCAAAUGAAAAAAUUCGUGGAAUGGCUGCAGAAUGCCGAAGAGGAAUCUGAAUCUGGAGAAGAAGAAGAUUAGAAAUAUUCAAGAGAAUAUAUCAUUGCCAGUAAUAAGAAAUGACAUAGUCUCAAAAUUUUGAAACAGAUCAAGAACAAUCUAAUAUCAGUCAGGAAAGACACACGGACUCUUGAAAAUAUAAAUAAAACUUAAGUCAAUGUUAGGUACUCCAUGAUGAAUCAAGUAUUCAAGGGAAUAGAACAUUUUUAAAUUGUCAAUAAGGACUAACACUAACAUCCAAUCUGUGUGGAAGAACUGUAAAUUGCAAAAUCUUUGAAUUGUAUUACUUUAAGAAAAAAUAUUUUGUGUUACAUUUUUAUAACUCCGCUACAAAAUAUAUACAGAAUAACAAAGAAAUUAUAAGAAAAAAAAUCUUUAUCCCUGUGUACGUACAAUUUUCGGAUCCCUAUCUUUCUUUGUAUAAUAUUGUAUUAGUUUAUAGGAAAUAUACUGACAGGUGGUAUUUAAU